UACGUAGGGUGCGAGCGUUAAUCGGAAUUACUGGGCGUAAAGCGUGCGCAGGCGGUUCGCCGUGUCCGAUGUGAAAGCCCCGGGCUUAACCUGGGAAUGGCAUUGGAAACUGGCGGGCUGGAGUGUGGCAGAGGGGGGUGGAAUUCCACGUGUAGCAGUGAAAUGCGUAGAGAUGCGGAGGAACACCGAUGGCGAAGGCAGCCCCCUGGGCUAAGACUGACGCUGAGGCACGAAAGCGUGGGGAGCAAACAGG
rnacentral:rRNA from 1 species